GAUGAACGCUGGCGGCGUGCCUAAUACAUGCAAGUCGAGCGAACGGACGAGAAGCUUGCUUCUCUGAUGUUAGCGGCGGACGGGUGAGUAACACGUGGAUAACCUACCUAUAAGACUGGGAUAACUUCGGGAAACCGGAGCUAAUACCGGAUAAUAUUUUGAACCGCAUGGUUCAAAAGUGAAAGACGGUCUUGCUGUCACUUAUAGAUGGAUCCGCGCUGCAUUAGCUAGUUGGUAAGGUAACGGCUUACCAAGGCAACGAUGCAUAGCCGACCUGAGAGGGUGAUCGGCCACACUGGAACUGAGACACGGUCCAGACUCCUACGGGAGGCAGCAGUAGGGAAUCUUCCGCAAUGGGCGAAAGCCUGACGGAGCAACGCCGCGUGAGUGAUGAAGGUCUUCGGAUCGUAAAACUCUGUUAUUAGGGAAGAACAUAAGUGUAAGUAACUGUGCACAUCUUGACGGUACCUAAUCAGAAAGCCACGGCUAACUACGUG
rnacentral:rRNA from 1 species